rnacentral:rRNA from 1 species
AAGUCGCAACAAGGUAACCGUAGGUGAACCUGCGGUUGGAUCAUUACGAAAUUCAAAACUCUGUGGGCUAGGUUGAGCGCGUUAACCCGCGUUCAGCUCCCCAGAACUACACCCUUGUGAACGUUUAACGUAUUUUGGCGAACCCUAAGCGUGGGAAACCGCGCUCUGAAUUCUUUGGUAGUGAAAAGAGUUGAAAAACCAUUUUCUCUACCUCGAAUUUUGGUUCGCCAGUCUUUAACACACUCCUAUAUUUGUACAAUCACUGAAACCAAAAAGAGAAACAAUGAGAAACAACUUUAGACAACGGAUCUCUUGGCUCUCGCAACGAUGAAGAACGCAGCGAAAUGCGAUACGUAAUGUGAAUUGCAGAUCUCAGUGAAUCAUCAAAUCUUUGAACGCACAUUGCGCCCCUUGGUAUUCCGGGGGGCAUGCCUGUUUGAGAACCUUGACGUCCUUCACAACCCUCACUACCAAAUUUUUGGUGGCGAUGGGACGUGGAUAUGAGUCAUCUUCCCAGCACUUUUUGUGCAAAGGAGUGACUUGAAAUUCAAGAUCGGUAAGCUAGAAAUAGAAGCCUACUCGAAAAUCAUCAAAACGUGAUAAUAUGGAGAUUCAUCUCUAUUGAAACGUUGAUACGUGAUUUUCGAAUACAAGGUGACUUUUCGCUCUGUAAAAGGAGGCCUAACGAUUCAACCGUCGCCAGGCGCCGUAAAACGCGUAUACCUGAACACCUGGUCUCAAAUCAGACAAGACUACCCGCUGAACUUAAGCAUAUCAGUAAGCGGAGGAAAAGAAACUAACAAGGAUUCCCUUAGUAACGGCGAGUGAAGCGGGAAAAGCUCAAUUUUGAAAUCUCCUUCGGGCGAAUUGUAGUUUAGAGAAGCGUUUUCGGGGGCAGUCUGGGUGUAAGUCCUUUGGAAUGAGGCAUCAGAGAGGGUGAGAAUCCCGUUCUUAACUCGGUAUCUGCUCCUAUGUGAUACGUCUUCAAAGAGUCGGAUAGCUUGGGAAUGCUGUCCAAAAUGGGUGGUAAAUACCAUCUAAAGCUAAAUAUUGGCGAGAGACCGAUAGCGAACAAGUACCGUGAGGGAAAGAUGAAAAGAACUUUGAAAAGAGAGUUAAACAGUACGUGAAAUUGUCUAAAGGGAAACGCUUGAAACCAGUAUUGCUUUGCAACGAUCAGCCGUCCCUUAGGAUGGUGCACUCGUUGUUGAGCGGGUCAGCAUCGGUUUGACGUGGGGUAGAAAGCUGGAGGAAGGUAGCCGUAAGGUGUUAUAGCCUCCAGUCAUGCUCUGGGUUGGACCGAGGACCGCAGCCUUGCUAUUGGGGAAUCGUCCGCCUCUUGUCUAAGGAAUCCAACAACUUGUUGAUGGCUUCUGUAACCCUUGCGCACGGAUGAGUACCACAACUAGGCUUAGGAUGCUGACGAAAUGGUUUUAAACGACC